CCACAGUACAAAUUGAUCCCCCUUAUUCCCAAUGCCUACAAUUGCACACAUGGGUCAUAGAAAACAGAGAAAUGCUUGCUUCUUUCAGUCUGAGGAGCACAUCUGAAUCUGGAUCUCUUAUCAACGUUUCAGUAGAUAAACAAAUAGUCCCAAUUGCAAAUGUUCAAUCACAACAGGACGGGCAUUCCUUCUCCAUUGAGGCAAAAGUAUCACUUCCAAAUAAACUCAAAAGUUGUUAUGUUUUACUAUGUCCCAACUGCAAACAAGAAGUGAGAAGUUUAAUAAAAAGAAAGUUUCUGUGUAUGACUUGUAAGCAACAAAAUAUGUUAA